UCAGCUGUGUGACCAGAAGGGGUGGAGCCUGGCUGCACCUCUCCUAGACCCCAUUUAAGGGCUGACUGCCCCUGCGGAAGGGUCUCUUUCUAGAGAUCCCUUCUCUGUGGAGUCUUUCAUCUAAACUUAGAUCUUUGGAUGCACAAUGGGCAUGUUCUCUGAAGAUUUUGUUUUGCCAGUUGCAAGUUACUCAAAGGACAGUUUGAAGGGCAGUAACUGAUGAACUGAAGAUCCUGCUGCACUUCUUAAGGGGGGAAAUUCCUGAUGUGCAGCCCUGCCCACAUCCACAGCUCCCCUGUCUGGUUUGGAAAGGGAUUUUGGCAGAGAUUCUGACAUGGGGAGGUUUUCAGCCCUCACAGGAGUCAUCAUCAUUAUUAUCUUGCAAGGGCUCAGAUCUUUCUCAUUUCCUUGGCAUUACCAUUACUGUGAAGCAAUCAGUGGAAGAGCACAGGCUACUCCAAGCUGUACAGAUUUGUAGUUAUAUAAAAUCCUAUUGAUUCUCUAUGCCUUUUUUUUCCAACAUCUGAGCUGUAUAGUCAGUAUAGUCAGCGUAGAAUAUAAUUGUUUAGCACUGAGUUUAAAUUGAAAGUACUGUAACUUGUUUUCAAUACAGUUUGCCCCCAAAGAAAAGUGAUUAACAGGAAAUAUUCAAUCAAAUAUCUCAGAAUUUGAAUUCUGUGUCUGAAAAUUCACCGUGUUUCAGUCUUGAAAAUUUAUUUUGUGUCCCUUAGUAGAUGGGCACUUUUUGUGAGAUACUUUUAAAAUAGAAGUUAGAGAUUUUUUUUCCCCCUUCUAGAUAUUCAGUAAGCAGGACUUCCUUCUAAAGCAUUUUAUCCUAUUCUUUCUCCAAGCAUGCCCUGUGAGCUAUCUGUGCAGGCUAUCAUACAAAGGGAAGAUAGGGUGACAGUUUUGUGAAACAUUAAAAAAAAAAAAAAAAAAGCAAAAGCCCCUAAUUCCCUAAGAUUGGAGUUGGGAACUCUUUGCCUCUGUGAAAUGUUAAAGGCUCAAAUCUUUGACCAGCUCAUUUUCUUGAAACUUAUUCUCUUUCUGGUAAGCCUAGGCAGGCAGAGGCCUCAAAAUCCUAUCUUAUCAGUUUGAGUUGUGUUCAAAAUAUGACCGAGUUCUGAAUAAACUCCCAAAGAAAGCCUCACAGUCAAUCCCCUUAAGACUUGGUUAGCUGGGGCCAUCUCAGGAAGAAGAAAUUAGCAUUUGUCAGGCAUUUUCUCCCAGUUUACAGCUCUCUAGCUUUAAGGUGGUUAUUGAAGGCCUACUCAGAAAUGAGUCUGCCUCUCCGUUUUUAGCAUUGUUAUUCAUGGGAUGUGGUUCAGUGGCGAUGUUAUGUUCUAUUGCAUCUUGAAUUAGGCAAGUUCUUAGUGGACUGCUCUUUGAAUGUUGUCUGUGGAUUCAUAUGAGUACAUCCUUCCCUGGGGAUGUACAUAAUCUUCUCCAUCCCAACAAGGAGAAUGUGAUUGCAGCAGAGUGCAGUGUGACAGAUGUGGGUAUUACAGACUGUCAGUGCUUUUUGAAUGACUCAGGCAUUAGUUUUCCCUCCUACCAAAUACCAACAGAAUAUUCUGUGCGACUCUGUGUUGUAAAUUAUCAUCUUGUACCAGUUCCCAUUCAUCCCUACACCGUAUUUUAUCCAACCAAUAAUUGUGUGUUACGAUGUGUUCAAUUCUUCCUUCAUUUCUUUGUCUGCUCAUUUACCCCAGUCUUCCUUUCCCUGCUAUCGUUGCAACUGUGUGCUUCUAUUGGUUUUCAAAUGGAAGUCUAAAUGUGCAUUUAUCAAGUAUGCCAUCCAAUCUUUCACUUACUGCCCUUUAAUGCAUUUCUGCAUUCUGCAUUUUUUUCCUAUUUAACUGCGUUGAACCUCUGUGCCUUUUUAUUGUAUGUUAAUGUAACAGUUCAAAUCACACAGCUCAUGGCUCACUUCUCCUUGGAGUCCAUUCUUUUAUUAUUACAAAUAUGUAGCAAAAUUGGAGAAGCACUCUGGCUUGCAGUACAUUUUACACUUACAUGAACAUACAGUCUGAAGGCUUUUUAUUCCUAGAGGUUCUACUUUCUUGUAAUUCAUUUUGUGCUAAGUAAAAUGAAAGGCUAUCCAUUUUACCUCUGACUUGGAAACCAACAAACAGAAGAGAGCUGAAAAAUGAAAGCAAAUCUCCGUAGAAGUUUAAAUGGCUUUUUAAUGGAAGAGAAGAACAGUAAAAACAAAUAGCUUUUUACAUCCAAAUGCAAAUGGAACUAGAGGAAACUAACGUGCAUGUAUCUUUUAUACAUUUAAAGUUAUCCUGUUAAGUAUAAGUCCUGCUUUUUCUCGUCUUGUUGAGCAAGGUUGUGCCAAUAUAGCAGAGAAAUGAUUUAUGAAUAUUCUUGUGUAUAAAGACAACUCUCCUAUUGCUCUCAAAAUCCCGUUUUGUGGGCUUACUCAGAGAUGUAGGCAGAGGAGCAAGUUGCGCAGUCUGGGAAGUGACACCUUCAACUUCUGCAGCUCACUUGCCUGAGCCCCAUUCAGCAUGUAACACAGCCUUGUGAAUACCAAGCACAGCCCAACCUGUAACUUCUUAAAUAUUGCAGCAUCCAGCUUUUAAUUUCAGUCAAUCAAAUCUGACAGCAGUAGCUGAACACUGAAUUCUGUCUUCCUUAUGCUGCAGAAGGGCUGUGGAACUACUUUGCAAGUCCUGCUCAGUCCAAAGUAUGGACUGAUCUCAGUGGGUUUGUAUCCAAGUUUCUUGCAAUGUGUGUGCAUGCUGGCAGCAAAUGCAAAUCUAUCAAGUGAAUUCUCUGGUC